UCCCCGGUAGCUCAAUUGGUAGAGCGAGCGGCUGUUAACCGCUAGGUCGCUGGUUCGAAUCCAGCCCGGGGAG
rnacentral:tRNA from 1 species